GCGAUGGGUAGGACCGGGAGGUCAGCCGUCUUCCGCACCCGAAACCGGCUACAUGCGGGGGUCAGCAACCUUCGGGUCGACCGUGCCAGCGGCCCGCGGUGACCGGGCACCGGAAGCUGACCCCGCGCCCCAACGGGUCAUCACACGGGGGACGACCCUCCGAAGGGAGGGUAUCGGCCUCCUAACCGUCGAACUGUGUCAGGUCCGGGAGGGAGCAGCACUAAGGCGGUGUGAGGACGCUGUUGGGCCAACGUGGGCGAUUCGCGGACCCGGCGUCACGUUCCGUGCACACGGGGAGCCCGGAGGAGCCAUCGC
rnacentral:SRP_RNA from 1 species